rnacentral:rRNA from 1 species
CCUACGGGAGGCAGCAGUGGGGGAUAUUGCACAAUGGGGGGAACCCUGAUGCAGCGACGCCGCGUGGGUGAAGAAGCGCCUCGGCGCGUAAAGCCCUGUCAGCAGGGAAGAAAAUGACGGUACCUGAAGAAGAAGCCCCGGCUAACUACGUGCCAGCAGCCGCGGUAAUACGUAGGGGGCAAGCGUUAUCCGGAUUUACUGGGUGUAAAGGGGGCGCAGACGGCGAUGCAAGCCAGGAGUGAAAGCCCGGGGCCCAACCCCGGGACGGCUCUUGGAACUGCGUGGCUGGAGUGCAGGAGGGGCAGGCGGAAUUCCUGGUGUAGCGGUGAAAUGCGUAGAUAUCAGGAGGAACACCGGCGGCGAAGGCGGCCUGCUGGACCGCGACUGACGUUGAGGCUCGAAAGCGUGGGGAGCGAACAGGAUUAGAUACCCUAGUAGUC